GACGAACGCUGGCGGCGUGCUUAACACAUGCAAGUCGAACGGUAAUGAGGAGCUUGCUCCGGUGAUUAGUGGCGAACGGGUGAGUAACACGUGUGUAAACCGCCCCUUACACUGUGAUAAGCGUUGGAAACGACGUCGAAUACUGGAUAUGAUAACUGGCGCCAUGGGCUGGUGGUGGCAAGGUUUUUGGGUUGGGGAUGGACUCGCGGCCUAUCAGCUUGUUGGUGAGGUAAUGGCUCACCAAGGCUACGACGGGUAGCCGGCCUGAGAGGGUGACCGGCCACACUGGGACUGCGACACGGCCCAGACUCCUACGGGAGGCAGCAGUGGGGAAUAUUGCACAAUGGGCGGAAGCCUGAUGCAGCAACGCCGCGUGCGGGAUGACGGCCUUCGGGUUGUAAACCUCUUUGACUAGGGACGAAGCGAAAGUGACGGUACCUGCAGAAAAAGCACCGGCUAACUACGUG
rnacentral:rRNA from 1 species